UACGUAGGUGGCGAGCGUUGUCCGGAUUUACUGGGCGUAAAGGGAGCGUAGGCGGACUUUUAAGUGAGAUGUGAAAUACCCGGGCUCAACUUGGGUGCUGCAUUUCAAACUGGAAGUCUAGAGUGCAGGAGAGGAGAGUGGAAUUCCUAGUGUAGCGGUGAAAUGCGUAGAGAUUAGGAAGAACACCAGUGGCGAAGGCGACUCUCUGGACUGUAACUGACGCUGAGGCUCGAAAGCGUGGGGAGCAAACAGG
rnacentral:rRNA from 1 species